AGCGGAAACGAGUUAUCUGAACCUUCGGGGAACGAUAACGGCGUCGAGCGGCGGACGGGUGAGUAAUGCCUAGGAAAUUGCCCUGAUGUGGGGGAUAACCAUUGGAAACGAUGGCUAAUACCGCAUGAUGCCUACGGGCCAAAGAGGGGGACCUUCGGGCCUCUCGCGUCAGGAUAUGCCUAGGUGGGAUUAGCUAGUUGGUGAGGUAAGGGCUCACCAAGGCGACGAUCCCUAGCUGGUCUGAGAGGAUGAUCAGCCACACUGGAACUGAGACACGGUCCAGACUCCUACGGGAGGCAGCAGUGGGGAAUAUUGCACAAUGGGCGCAAGCCUGAUGCAGCCAUGCCGCGUGUGUGAAGAAGGCCUUCGGGUUGUAAAGCACUUUCAGUCGUGAGGAAGGUAGUGUAGUUAAUAGCUGCAUUAUUUGACGUUAGCGACAGAAGAAGCACCGGCUAACUCCGUGCCAGCAGCCGCGGUAAUACGGAGGGUGCGAGCGUUAAUCGGAAUUACUGGGCGUAAAGCGCAUGCAGGUGGUUUGUUAAGUCAGAUGUGAAAGCCCGGGGCUCAACCUCGGAAUAGCAUUUGAAACUGGCAGACUAGAGUACUGUAGAGGGGGGUAGAAUUUCAGGUGUAGCGGUGAAAUGCGUAGAGAUCUGAAGGAAUACCGGUGGCGAAGGCGGCCCCCUGGACAGAUACUGACACUCAGAUGCGAAAGCGUGGGGAGCAAACAGGAUUAGAUACCCUGGUAGUCCACGCCGUAAACGAUGUCUACUUGGAGGUUGUGGCCUUGAGCCGUGGCUUUCGGAGCUAACGCGUUAAGUAGACCGCCUGGGGAGUACGGUCGCAAGAUUAAAACUCAAAUGAAUUGACGGGGGCCCGCACAAGCGGUGGAGCAUGUGGUUUAAUUCGAUGCAACGCGAAGAACCUUACCUACUCUUGACAUCCAGAGAACUUUCCAGAGAUGGAUUGGUGCCUUCGGGAACUCUGAGACAGGUGCUGCAUGGCUGUCGUCAGCUCGUGUUGUGAAAUGUUGGGUUAAGUCCCGCAACGAGCGCAACCCUUAUCCUUGUUUGCCAGCGAGUAAUGUCGGGAACUCCAGGGAGACUGCCGGUGAUAAACCGGAGGAAGGUGGGGACGACGUCAAGUCAUCAUGGCCCUUACGAGUAGGGCUACACACGUGCUACAAUGGCGCAUACAGAGGGCGGCCAACUUGCGAAAGUGAGCGAAUCCCAAAAAGUGCGUCGUAGUCCGGAUUGGAGUCUGCAACUCGACUCCAUGAAGUCGGAAUCGCUAGUAAUCGUGGAUCAGAAUGCCACGGUGAAUACGUUCCCGGGCCUUGUACACACCGCCCGUCACACCAUGGG
rnacentral:rRNA from 1 species